GCCAGCCCGCUCAGAAACUCAAAGGAAUUGACGGGGCCCGCACAAGCGGUGGAGUAUGUGGUUUAAUCGAUGCAACGCGAAGAACCUUACCUGGUCUUGACAUCCCGGAGACCCUUAGGAAACUAGGGGGUGCUUCCAUCUGGAAGAAUCUGGAGACAGGUGCUGCAUGGCUGUCGUCAGCUCGUGUCGUGAGAUGUUGGGUUAAGUCCCGCAACGAGCGCAACCCUUGCCUUUAGUUGCCAGCAGUUCGGCUGGGCACUCUAAAGGGACUGCCGGUGUUAAACCGGAGGAAGGUGGGGAUGACGUCAAGUCCUCAUGGCCUUUAUGACCAGGGCUACACACGUACUACAAUGGCCGAUACAAAGGGCAGCGACACUGCGAGGUGAAGCCAAUCCCGUAAAAUCGGUCUCAGUCCGGAUUGGAGUCUGCAACUCGACUCCAUGAAGUUGGAAUCGCUAGUAAUCGUGGAUCAGCAUGCCACGGUGAAUACGUUCCCGGGCCUU
rnacentral:rRNA from 1 species